UCAACUAUGGUGUCUAAUUCAUCAGCUGCGGUGAGGACAGGAAAUGGGAAAUCUUCCAUUUCAGCAAGCUGCUUCCCUUUCCUCUGAUUAUGGGGGGCUGCUAUACCACAAGGAACUAGUCAGAUCACCUUUGGAAGGAUUUUUUCAUAGGAGAACUCAAAGUGUGUUUUACCAAGUCCCAUUUUGGCAGAAGGAGACGAAGUUUCCAGAUUUUCUAAGGGGAGCUUAGGAAAAAUUAACACAUCAUUUCCAUU
rnacentral:lncRNA from 12 species